UCUUCUACCCUGUUCUUGCCUUUGAAAAUGUUUAUUCUCCUCUCACUUAUUCACUUAACAUAGGACUCAAAGACUCUUUUGCUUCUUUGGCAUACUUUUUCUAAACUACACGACGUUCAUCUAACUCUGGUUCAGAGCAUUAUGUUGGGAUUUAGAAGUCUCAUAUUCUAAUUCUCAACUCUAUCAUGAACUCUGAUUGUGACCCUGAACUUGUAUUUUUUUCAUCUGUAACAUAGAAAUAUAAAAUCUUAGGAGUGGGUGCAGUAUUAAAGUUCAUAUACCAAUUUCUCAGUCAACAUUCUUUACAGGUAUUUAUCUACUUCUAUUGAAAUGUUUCCAAUGACAAGGAACUUACUACCCUCCCUCCUAAAAAAAGCCAUUAUAUUUUCAAACAGCUCUAAUUAUAAAAAAGUUCUUAUUUUUAUUGAGCUAAAACCUACUGUUUUCUAACUUUUAUCUUAUUAACCUCCUUUAAAAUUUUCCUUCUCCAGGCUCAGUUACUGAAUUCUGGAAAUGACUUCCGAGUACCAUCAUUUCAACACCUGCCACCAAUACAGUUUGCUCUUUUGGAGUAUGCCCUAGUGUCAGUUGUAUGACUCAAUAACUCUUUCUUUUCACGUGGGGUUUUCUGUCCUGAGGCUUCAUGCUAUGACUGUAUUUAUAUUUCAAAAGAAGGGAAAUAGAUGUUUCGUAUUAAAUUCCAAAUGGGAAGUUUAAUGUGUGCGUUGGCAUAUUUAGGAUAAGGAUGAAGCUAUCCUGGCCAAAAAAUUUGAGAAAGACAACACUUUUCACUCUGAAGGACCAAAAGAUGGGUAGAAAAUUUGGGAUAAAUGUGAACAAGAUUUGAUCCAUAAGGAAAAACAAAUAGUUAGACCUCCAUAUUCAUUCAGCUGGGAAACUAAAACUGUGCAAUCCCACUAUCAGAAAUUGCUCAGUCAGCUCGCUACUCUUCUGAGUAACAGUGUCAUCCCCAUACCAACCGCAGAGAAAGCUGUGAAAGAGAGAAUUCAGGAAACCGGUGCAAAUGAGCAAUCUUGGAAGUCUAGAAUGGAAAGUCUUCAGUGGGAAAUUCAGAUGCUCACUCAGCAAAUGGAGCAGCUGUACCAUCCUUAUGAAGAAAAUGUUUGUGAAUCAUCCCAAGAUGAAGAAACUAUAGGGAACAAAGAAGACUCUUGAAAUAUCCGGAAGGAAAAAUUGCUUUCAACAUGGAUGUUUCUGGGCACCUGACUUCUGUUCCAAGUCUGGGAUAUAUGAGGCAUAAAAGAAAACCCAGGCAACUAACCACCAUGGUGUUCCUCAGAGCCCAAGGUCACUGGCUGGCCUGCUUUCUUCUCUCUGCCUUUCAGAGUCUUAUGUUUGUUUUAGAUACAAUGUCCAGGGUUUUAAGUUGUACUUAAGUAGCAGUAGGAAUAGGGAAAAGUAUAUCUACUCUAUGUUCCCAGAGCACAAGUCCCAUCUUCAGUUAUUGAUGUUACUGUGUUGUUUAUGUCUUGCUAAGGUAUUGUGGCCAAAUCAUUUUCAACGAGAUAAAGUGUUGCUAUUAUUGUAAGACCAUUGUUGUACAUUUGGCAAAUCUUAAUCACAUUCAGUGGCCUGAGAUGCUUGGUGAAUACAACUUUUUAAUAUGUGGAAAUAUUUUAAGUAUUGGCUUAGAACAGACUACUUCUAUAAUAGCAAAAGAUUUGUCUUAAUUUCACUUGUGAGUAGAUAUUUGUACAUAACAGUUUAGUUGACAAAUAAAAUAUGGUAGUUUAAUUCUUCAAAGGCAGUUUACAGACUUGCUUUUGAUUAAUUACAAAUAUUUCAACCCUGUAUUUGAUUUAACAGACAAAUGAAUAGGUGGAAGAGAAACAUUGCAAACAAGGAGUAUAAAUGUGUAUUCAAAUAACAACUUUAAUAAUUAAAUUAUGCCUUCCAUUUUUUCUGACAAGAAUGUCACAUCUAUCCCUCACAGAUAAACUGAUUGUUCUAGUAAUCUGAAAUAAAUGGUCUGAGAUUGUGAGUUACAUUUUGAAGUCCUUUCAGUUUAGUCAGAAGGAGUGACUGUAUCAUACACCCACUUCUAAGGAAUAAAUAUGGCUAUUCUGCCCAGGAAAAAGUCUAUGUUCUAGUUUUUCCUAAUAAUUUUCCCCUCGUGUUCACAUAGCUUUAUAGCAGUGUUUUCAUAAACAAUGCAUUGUUCUACGCCUAGAAUUGCUAUAUGUUCACAGCACAGGGGUGAGACUUCUUGAAGUCUCCAAUGUUCAUCAUCAUUGACUAUAUCACUGAG